CAUCUGUAUAGGUACAGACCAGAGGAACCAGAGAGAGCAGCAGUGAGUACUGCUCCAGAGUUGACAGAGCCUGCAGAGUCAGUCAGUCCAGAUAGCCAGAGGUGAGUGGAACUAACCUUAACUCUUUAACUUGCACAAUGGAAUGUUUUAGCAUAUCUCAUGCAUCAUAAUUAUGCACUAGGUUGAUUGCAUUAGUAUCCACGAAUAUGUUGCAUUGCAUAGUUAUUUGUUGAUGUGGGUGAAUGCUGAAUGAUCCAAUAGUCUCAGACAGGAAGUCCAGGAGCCUUUGACUACGCCCUGGCAGUUAUAGUAAAGACCAGGAGCC
rnacentral:lncRNA from 1 species